rnacentral:lncRNA from 1 species
UGCUAGCCUAGUGCUUUCCUGCGGACGUGCGCUGCUGCCCAGCCUCAGGCUCCAGUCCUGCGCUGGCUGCUGCUGGCUGUCGUCAGCGAUGCCGCCGCCGGCCACAAGGUGGCAGUGCCGUGCUGCGUGGCUACACGCCCCUGGAAGCACCGGACCAGCCUUGGUCUGGCAAAAGUUUUCCAGUCUUUCCAGCAGAUGCGCCCAGGCCGUGAGCCCUCCCGGGCGGCCUGGAGGCAAGGGAUCGGGUGGGGGUGGGGUAGCCGCCGAUGUCCUGGGUGGCUUUGGGGGCGAUUUGCAAAGGCAUGCAUUUGUUGUUAAGAGCUCGGAGAAACAGUUUGGGGGAGCCUGUCACAGAUGCAAAGUCUGUUGAUAUUUCCAGGAGUGUUUGGUUUGGUUUGGGCUUUAGGGACCUACAGCAAGCAUCGAUUCUCGUGGAGGCGAACAACACUGACAGCUACUCUUUGUCUCUCGUCGGGAUUCUGAACAGAGCCCGACGUCGCUUCCAUUUCAGAGAUAUAUGCCGCUGACACUACCUUGAGAGAGCUCCUGCCUCCAUGGUUCCUGACCUGCCUAGAAGGGGAGGGCGCAGGAGACUCUUGUUCUACAGCUGUCCUCGGGAUGCCCUCAAUUCCCAGGCGCAGGGAUAAGCUUGUCUGACCCCAUUUGACCCCGCCGCAGGCGCCAGGCGUCCUCAUUUAUUGCGAGGCCUAAGAGUCCUCAAGGCUUACUGCCUGCCUACCCCCCUCCCCCACCACCCGCCGCUCUUCGUUUUUUGGUGUUUUGUUUUGUUUUGUUUUGUUUUUCCUCUCCUUGUCCUGUGCGGGAAUCAUAUGCCUCCUUCCUGUUGUCUAAGCUCCCCUCUUCCGUAGGCACAAACCUGCCCCCUCUGCGUUUUUUACCUUAAAACAGGUGUUCUGAGGAUUGUCUCUAGUUCUGGCGACGUCUUGAAAGAACUGAGUCUGAGCGAGGCAGACAGACGGCAGCAUUAGUGGUGAUGGAGCUGCACUGCUAAAUGUGGAGAUGGGAGGGGAAACACACCUGGGCUUCCACAGGGCAGGAGAAGAUCUGUCACUUGGGCAGAGCCUUUGAGUCGCACUCAGGUGAUCUCCAGGUAUCUUUUGUCUGUUUUAACCUGACAUUCAUUUGCAUCUAACAGGACUCCCGAAAGAAGCCUGGUGUAACUGAGUCUGGAAUUUUUGCUGGGCUUGCUAGGUCUACACUCUCCCACCUGUGCUCCGAGGAGAGGUGUAGACUAUCUCUUGGAUUUUGCUUGGAGGAUGUCCUUUCCGGACUCAGGACCUAGGAGAGACCAGCAGGAAACAGAACAGAGUCUACAUAGGUGAAUAUCAAAGAAUCACCUGGAGAGAUUUACAGGCAACAGACUGGGACAAAAGGCCUGAGUCACAGACCAGUGAUUGGCAAAACAGAGAAGCUGAAGCAACUGUACAGCAAGCAGGAGCUCACACACGGGAGCCUACCUCUGGGAAUGCCGAGAAGUCAAUGCAAUGGUCACAUCUCAGGUUGUCUGGACACACAGACGGUUCACAAAUCCCGGGAUGGACCAGGAAGGCCAUUCAGUGAGAUUGUGUUGAACUGGGGAGUGGUGACAGUAAACAUUGACAUUAUGGUCCUACAUACAUAUCAUACGUUCCAUUAGUGUCCUACAUAAGUUAUAACCUGCUUACUCCUCCCAGUGCCCUUGAGAGAUCAGCCUGCUAAUUCCCACUCCAGAGUCAGGGAAGCUAAGUGCUGGGGACUCAGGAAACUUGACUGCGUUUAUAGCCAGUGAGUGGCAAAGCUGAUGUUUGAAUCCGUGUUUCGUGUUUCAGAGUCUUGGGAAGCUACGGUUUUUGUCCAUGGGGCUGAGUUGCUACACCACCCUAGAUGGUGGGCUGAGGGGCCUCUUCUGAUGAACUCCCUUCAGAAUGCAUUCCCUUCACAUCUGUUACCUCUUGCGGUGUGGGUCGCUGCUCUGUGGAAGUUGGACAGAACCCUUGGAACCUCCCGUGUGAUUCUGAAGUCUAGUGCAAACUCCAGUCAGUAAACUAAGAGAAACCAUUUUUAGUCAAAGGAAGCAAGGAACACUCCAACCAGCCCAGACUGACUUUCUUCUGUGGUUAAAAAUCUGGAUCUCCAUGUAAUUGCAACUGGGAAGAUCCUGCUGGAAGAUGUGCCAAGGUAGCCCCACAUGUUCCAAAGGGAUCGAAACUCAUUUGGAAGGGUAUGUUCUGAGAGAGAGAGAGAGAGAGAGAGAGAGAGAGAGAGAGAGAGAGAAGAAGAAGAAGAAGAAGAAGAAGAAGAAGAAGAAGAAGAAGAAGAAGAAGAAGAAGAAGAAGAAGAAGGAAGAACAACAAGAACAACAAGGAAGAAGAAGGAGAAGAAGGAGAAGGAGGAGAAGAAGGAGGAGGAGGAGGAGGAGGAAGAAGGAGAAGAGAGAGAAUUUCUUCUACUACUUCUUUAUAUUUAUGUAUUUAUUCUCUUUUGCACUUAGUGUGUAACUUGGUGCCUUACAUAAACCAUGGAAUAAUUAGGCUUUCUUCAGGAUGUAAGGAAAUUCCCUACAUCAGAGGACCUUACUAUCCAAGCUAAGGUGUUUGUAGCUGGAGCCUACUCACCUACAGAGACCUCCUACAGAGGGGCUCUGCCCUGGCCUUUUGGGAUUCAGAGCUGAGGCGGGACACAGAGUUCGACAAAGCCAGAAGACUGAUAAUCUCAGACCUAACUGUACUGGGAGCUGGGAGCUGGGAGCUGUUGGCUUCAGGAAACUUAACCCUCUCUUGUUUAUUCUAUGGCCGAAAACUGCUGACUUCUUUUCGCUUUAACUCUGUGCUCUGGAGAAACUUAACUCUUUGUGCUUAAAUAAGCACUGGGGGUCACUUAACUCUUUGUUACUAUUCUGUGCUUUAAUAAACGCUGAGCAUUCUUCAACUCUCUUA